rnacentral:rRNA from 1 species
UACGUAGGGGGCAAGCGUUGUCCGGAAUCAUUGGGCGUAAAGCGCGUGUAGGCGGUUCAGUAAGUCUGCUGUGAAAGUCCAGGGCUCAACCCUGGGAUGCCGGUGGAUACUGCUGGACUAGAGUGCGGAAGAGGCGAGUGGAAUUCCCGGUGUAGCGGUGAAAUGCGCAGAUAUCGGGAGGAACACCAAUUGCGAAGGCAGCUCGCUGGGACGUGACUGACGCUGAGACGCGAAAGCGUGGGGAGCAAACAGG